AUCAAAGGGAAGUGCACGUUAGUAGACGGUACAGAGGUUUCUUAAGAAAAUGAUGAACCCUGAGGAUAUCCCGUGAUACUGGUGGCUAAACAUCCUUUAUCAUCUGACGCAGCCUAGGACCAUAAAAUCAACAACUGCGAGUUUCUAGGAUUCCACACUAUAAUAAGGGUGCCAACGGAACCCUAUUGCUGUACGUCUGUCCGCCUAGCAGGUGCUUCUAAUUUCUUAACGAAACAAGGGGUUCCCAAUACAAGAAAAAUAAAGACUUCGCGAAUUUCCUUCUUUGUCUUUGGUGAGUAGAUUCUACUUAAA